CAGUCGCCACGGUAAUACGUAGGUGGCAAGCGUUGUCCGGAAUUAUUGGGCGUAAAGGGCUCGCAGGCGGUUUCUUAAGUCUGAUGUGGAAGCCCCCGGCUCAACCGGGGAAGGUCAUUGGAAACUGGGAAACUUGAGUGCAGAAGAGGAGAGUGGAAUUCCACGUGUAGCGGUGAAAUGCGUAGAGAUGUGGAGGAACACCAGUGGCGAAGGCGACUCUCUGGUCUGUAACUGACGCUGAGGAGCGAAAGCGUGGGGAGUGAACAGGAUUAGAUACCCCCGUAGUCCCUGUCUCUUAUAC
rnacentral:rRNA from 1 species